UACGGAGGAGGCAAGCGUUAUCCGGAAUUAUUGGGCGUAAAGCGUCCGCAGGUGGCACCUCAAGUCUGCUGUCAAAGACCGGGGCUUAACCCCAGAAAGGCAGUGGAAACUGAAGUGCUAGAGUGCAGUAGGGGUAGAGGGAAUUCCCGGUGUAGCGGUGAAAUGCGUAGAGAUCGGGAAGAACAUCGGUGGCGAAAGCGCUCUGGCUGGACUGCAACUGACACUCAGGGACGAAAGCUAGGGGAGCGAAUGGG
rnacentral:rRNA from 1 species